UACGGAGGGUGCGAGCGUUGUCCGGAAUCAUUGGGCGUAAAGGGCGCGUAGGUGGCUUCUCAAGCGUGCGGUGAAAGCCUGGGGCUCAACCCCGGGUCGGCCGUGCGAACUGGGGGGCUGGAGCACUGUAGAGGCAGGCGGAAUUCCGGGUGUAGCGGUGGAAUGCGUAGAGAUCCGGAAGAACACCGGUGGCGAAGGCGGCCUGCUGGGCAGUUGCUGACACUGAGGCGCGACAGCGUGGGGAGCAAGCAGG
rnacentral:rRNA from 1 species